rnacentral:rRNA from 1 species
AUACGUAGGGGGCAAGCGUUAUCCGGAUUUACUGGGUGUAAAGGGAGCGUAGACGGAAGGCCAAGUCUGAUGUGAAAGCCCACGGCUCAACUGCGGGACUGCAUUGGAAACUGGUCAUCUGGAGUGCAGGAGGGGUAAGCGGAAUUCCUAGUGUAGCGGUGAAAUGCGUAGAUAUUAGGAGGAACACCGGUGGCGAAGGCGACUUACUGGACUGUAACUGACACUGAGGCACGAAAGCGUGGGGAGCAAACAGGAUUAGAUACCCUACAGUACUCAA